ACUACGGGAGGCAGCAGUGGGGAAUAUUGCACAAUGGGGGAAACCCUGAUGCAGCAACGCCGCGUGAAGGAAGACGGUUUUCGGAUUGUAAACUUCUGUUCUUAGUGAAGAAUAAUGACGGUAGCUAAGGAGAAAGCCACGGCUAACUACGUGCCAGCAGCCGCGGUAAUACGUAGGUGGCAAGCGUUGUCCGGAAUUACUGGGUGGAAAGGGAGCGCAGGCGGGAAGCCAAGUCAGCUGUGAACACUACGGGCUUAACUUGUAGACUGCAGUUGAAACUGGUUUUUUUGAGUGAAGUAGAGGUUGGCGGAAUUCCGAGUGUAGCGGUGAAAUGCGUAGAUAUUCGGUGGAACACCGGUGGCGAAGGCGGCCAACUGGGCUUUAACUGACGCUGAGGCUCGAAAGUGUGGGGAGCAAACAGGAUUAGAUACCCUUGUAGUC
rnacentral:rRNA from 1 species